AUACUAACCUGGCAGGUGAGAUACCAUGAUCAUGAAAGUGGUUUUCCCAGGGUGAGGCACAUUCAUUGCACUUUGGGUGUGCUGAUCCCUGUGAUUUCCCCAAAUGUGGGAAAAUCAACUGCAUAAUUUGUGGUAGUGGGGGACUGUGUUUGUGUUUUCACCUG
rnacentral:snRNA from 1 species